rfam:Triticum aestivum genome assembly, contig: Triticum_aestivum_CS42_TGACv1_scaffold_320491_4BL
UUAGUACUCCCUCCGUCCGGAAAUACUUGUCCAGAAAAUGAUUGUAUCUAGACUUAUUUUAGUUAUAGAUAUAUCUAUUUUAUCUAUUUCUAGGACAAGUAUUUCCGGACGGAGGGAGUAUUAC